UUUACCUGAACAAAGGCUACAUAAGAAAAUAUACCAACCCAGAACCAAUGUGCACCAGCUUCGUACAGAGUUUCUAAAAAUGUAGAGUAGAAAGAAAAGCAGAUUGUCAUAUACCAAUCAACGUUUCAUUCUUAAUUUGCAUGGGAUCUCCAUUGCCUACGCUGCCCUUCAUCACUCCCAACGGCCUCGCUCCACCUCCACGACACCUCGGAUGACCGCCGCACAGUGUCGCACCACGGAUGAUGCUCCACCUUCCGCAUCCUACCUCUGGUCCCUGCUCCAUGCUCGCUCAUGCCCUAUGGCCUCCGCCGCGCUCGCGCUGCUGAGCCACCUCCACCCCUGUCUGAUCUCUUCCUCUCUCUCGAUCUAGCGAGAUCAUGGCUGGAAAGUCAAAGGCCUCUCUCCUUCUCGAUUUACUGAUCCCAUGGCCUGAAAGUCUGACAACGUAUUUGGAUUGAAGCCAGACUUUAACUGAUGGAUUCCCUAACUUUUCUUUGAGUUAUAAAACCCUAGGCCCGCAUGAUUAACUAAAAUGCCCCAUUACUUAACCCCAGGCCACGGGCCUUUUGUUGUAUAAAUCUCUGUGAAUUUUUUACCUCUUUCAGCGACAUCACCUCUACACCAAUGUCACAUAUGGAAUUUUUUUGAAUGUCGAGAUAAUCCAUCUUUAUCUCUCUUAUACACUACAAAAAUAAAUAAAUAUAUUAAGAAUAUAUAAACACACCUUUUGUAUUAUCAUGCGUAACAAAUAUAUUAAGAACCAUUAUUUGUAUGCAUCUCUUAUGAUUGUUAAAACUCGAUACUUUUUUGGUCCAUUCCAUUCUAAACAUGACUUGUUAGUGUAUCUGAUGUUUUCCCUCAGCAGAAAAAAGGGUAUCUGAUGUUUUCAACUAUAUUAAAAUAUGUGACAUUUUUCUCACACCAAACUACCGCUUUCCCUAUAUCACUAUAUAAAAGUAUGUGACAUUUCUCUCAUAGCAGUCAAACGUUUUCCCUAAAAAAGUGUCGCUCCUUUUCUUUUUAUUCUAAAAGAGCAAUUCACUCUCUCCUUCUCUCAUCGCAUGGCACAACGCUCACCCUCAUAUCGCAUUCCACAACAAUGCUCAAACUCAUACCUGAUCCCCCUAGCUUCUCUCCUCCCUGAUGUUGUUGGCAUCAAGGAACGCCACGAAAUUCCAGCGUCGUGUCUCCUUCUGUCCAUAG
rnacentral:lncRNA from 1 species